AGAGACAGCAGUAGCCGCGGUAAUACAGAGGGUGCGAGCGUUAAUCGGAUUUACUGGGCGUAAAGCGUGCGUAGGCGGCUUCUUAAGUCGGAUGUGAAAUCCCUGAGCUUAACUUAGGAAUUGCAUUCGAUACUGGGAAGCUAGAGUAUGGGAGAGGAUGGUAGAAUUCCAGGUGUAGCGGUGAAAUGCGUAGAGAUCUGGAGGAAUACCGAUGGCGAAGGCAGCCAUCUGGCCUAAUACUGACGCUGAGGUACGAAAGCAUGGGGAGCAAACAGGAUUAGAUACCCGCGUAGUCCCUGUCUCUUAUAA
rnacentral:rRNA from 1 species